rnacentral:lncRNA from 1 species
UAUCUCCUGUAGGGCUGGUUUCGUGGUUACGAAAUUGGUUAAUGAUUGGCGAUUUUGGAACGUCUUUAUUUCUCCAUCAAUUCUGAAUGACAGCUUUGCUGGAUAAAGGAUCCUUGGCUGCAUGUUUUUCUCUGAAAGAGCUUUAAAAAUGCCCCCCCAAGCCUUUCUCUCAUUCCAGGUCUCUGUAGACAGGUCUGACGUAAUCCUGAUACCUUUGCCUUGGUACAUGAGAAAUUUCUUUGCCCUGGCAGCUUUCAAUACUGUAUCCUUGGAUCUAAUAUUUGCAAAUUGCGCUAUGACGUGAUGUGGUGUAUNAUAUUUGCGAAUUGCACUAUGACAUGCCGUGGCGUAGGUUUGUCCUGGUUGAGCUUGGAUGGGGUCCUCUCUGCCUCUUGGACACGAAUGCUUGUUUCCCUUGCUAGAUUAGGGAAGUUUUCAGCUACAAUUUGUUCAAAUAUCUCUUCUAGACCUCUGUUUUUCUCCACCCCUUCAGGGAUGCCGAUGAUUCUGACAUUGGAUCGUUUCAUAGAGUCAGUAAUCUCCCGUAAUCUACAUUCGUGGGCGUGGAUUUUUUUAAGACCAGCUUCUAUUUUUGUUUUUUCUUCUAUUAAUCCAUCCUCCAAUUCGCUCACGCGUUCCUCUGCCUCGGUGACCCUGGCCGUCAGAGCCUCUAGUUUUGACUGUAUUUGGCCCACAGAAUUUUUAAUUUCUGUCAGAUUCGCUCUCAUUUCUGCCCUUAGGGAUUCUAUAUUCUCAGCAACGCUUUCUCUGAUGCUUUUUUCAAGUUUACUCAUCAUCUUGACCAUUGUUGCUCUGAAUUCCAUUUCUGAUAAUUGGGAUACAUCCAUAUGUAUUAAUUCUGUGGCCGAGGCCAAUUCUGUGGCAGAGGCCACAGACUCAUUAUCUUUUCUUUGCUGGGGGGGACUUCUCCUUCUCGUCAUUCUGAUGAAGAGAGAUUGCAGGGUUGUCCAGAGCCCAAGUGUUGACUGGGACCCAGGCCGUGCGCCCUUGUUUUAUAGAGAUCUUAGGGAUGUGGGCUUCUUCCUUAAAGAGUUUAUUUAUUUAUUUGAGAGAGAGAGAGACAGUCAGCAAGAAAGGGAACCCAAGCAGGGGAGUGGGAGAGGAAGAAGCAGGCUCCCAGCGGAGAAGCCCGAUGAGAGACUCCUUUCCGGAUCACUGUGAUCACGCCCUAAUCCGAAGACAGGCGCUUAAUGACUGAG